CUGCAACCUUGCUUUUAGCAGCAUGAAGAAGGGGAAGAGAGGAGGCUGUUGUAGGAUGAGCUCCCAGACUUCAUUGAAGCUUUUCCAUGCCCACAGGCUAUGAAUAUUUUUGAAACAUUUUUCUCAUGGCUUGUUUCUAUCUGCCUCCCCCAAAGUCUACAAUAGCUUUUAGUUCUGAUUCAUUGCAAUGUGAUGUAUUCAUUGCAAUGUGAAUAUAUAUAUAUGUACUCACUACAUUUUCCAGUGGAACAAGAGAAGAUGGCAGUAUAGGAAGAGGAAUAGCACGAGUGAAGGACUGGAAGAGGGACAGAUCCCUGCGUGUUUGCACAAUGGACAGUGUAAGGGUAUGGUGAAAGUGCAGGUGAGCAGCAUGGAGUGACUCAUUUCUCUAGAAGAAACCUGGGCCUUGCAUGAAAGGGGCCUUGUAUGAAACGUGGCAGGGUUGUGAAGAGGAGAGAAAUGUGUGGUAUGCAAACCAGGAGGCCAAAGAAGUGCCAAAGAAUGGCAAGGAGGGCCAUUGGUGUGGACCGCAUCUCACAUCAUUUGAAUCAGUAAAGAAAUCCUUAUUGGGUAGCAACAAGAGGAAGAAAGAAUGAGGCACACGUGAUAGCGCUGUCAUGGACACCAUGGGUGCAAAAAUGAGGAUACUGAGACUCAAAGUGGUGAAGAGACUUAUCCAAUGUCAUAAGCUGGGAGCUAGGGUAUGACCCAAGCAGAACCUGUACACUGGAGCCCAGGAUUACUGACAAAGGACACACCUUCUCUAGCCCCUCCUGGUGGACUUCCUCAGCUACGAAGUGCUAUUAUCAUCUCCUAGAGCUGUGGUGAGAAUUAACUAAAAUAACAUGGAUGAAGCUCUUGCGCGGCACCUGGCACAUGCCCAACCUGACUGCUGUGUUCUGCCCUGAGUCUGCAGAGGCUGACCCUGGCCAGGAAAGUGGUUGGAAAAGCAUUUUUGCAGAGAGGCAGCCUGAAGGUGGUGGCUCUAUCGGGGCAAAGAACUGUAAGCAGAGACAAAAUGAAAGCCCUCUAGGCCCACAAUUGAUUCUAACGGCUGUGAGGGAAUGAGCUUCAACUACUGUUGAUGGGAGGGACUGUGUGCCAGGCACUGUGCUAGGGACUCUCAUGCAUGAUCUCAUUCAUCUUCUGCAUAACCCAAUGAGGUAUGAUCUACUAUCAAGUGUCUACAUUUGUAUUGGAUUGGUAUGUGUGCCCAACAAAGAAAGUGUCAUUUUUCCUUGGGAAUGAAAUCACAUCAUUUGUGAAGACUUAGUAGAGGCUAAAUGAGUACAAGCAGCAUUUACCUUAUUAAACAGAUAUUUUCAACAUUUAAAACAGUCUGACCAUCAAUGAUGAUGUUCAAAAACAUCUCAAGAUGUUUUAGAGCUAAAGCAAAUGAGAAAAUAUAGUAAAGGGCUGAUUCCUGUGGAUAUUCUGCAAAGGAAAGUAACAUGGUGGAGUGGAAGUGGGAUAAGGUUUGAAGCCAAAAGACCUGGUGGGCUUAAGGUCUCCAUUUAUUGGUUGUGUGACCUUGGAUAAGCCACUUCACCUCCUGGUGAGACUUGGGCAAAAUGGAGAUCAUAUUAAUCACCUCACAGUUUGUUACGCAUUGAGUAAAUGCACAUGUAAGCAUUAUUGACUGUAAAUGAUUAUGCAUAUUUUAAUUAUGGUAUAUCCAAGCCUGAUUUUUCAUCCAGUGCUUACAGUGCCCUGGGCAUAAUACUCAUUCAAUAAACAUUUGUUUGAUGAUAGAGUAAUAAAUGAAUAUGUGAUGCAGAAGUUUUAAAAAUAUUUUUGCUGCUGUCUGACUCAUUUAUAGACAUUUAUAAAAUUGAGGAUUUGUAAGUUGUCCCUGGACAAUCAGAUCUCUUGAUUCAAAGGUGAAAGAUAAUCAUUCAGGUUUUCAAGUUUUUCCUGAUAUGAGACAUUAACUGGCAGGGCUGAUUAUGAGAAAUUGUCAUUAUCCUGCUCAAAUAUAAGAUCAUAGAUUUGGGAAACCUUAGAAAUAAUUACCUUCUUUUCAAAUAUGAGGAAACUGAAGCCCAGAGGCUCUAAGAAAUCAGGGACUUUAUAUAAUUUUUUCAUUUCUCUAGCUCUAGGGUAAUUGUAGAUAGAUAUACAACAAGUAUGUUUUUAAAAGUAUAUUUUUCAAGAAUUAUGCUAAGCACUGGGGAAAUAAACAUUAACAAGACAAAACCCUCCCCUUUGAGGAACUGAUAAUCUAGACAGACAUGAAAACCAGGAAGUGUGCUAUCAGUUAUAUUAAUGUUGUACAGAGUUCUAGUGGCAAGAGGGAACUGCCAAGGGAAAUCUGAGAGGAGGUGUUUACCCUGCGUAAACACCUUGCUGUUUAGCUUGGCAUCCCUAGAAGCAGACCCUGAGGACAGUGGGAAAAUGGAUUAUUAAGGAAGUGCUCCUGAGAGAAACCAGAAAGGGGGUGUAGGGAGCAAGGGAGGAUAAGGAGAAGACUCCAGUAAGGAUGAGAUUACUCAAGUCCCAUGGAAGACAGGUUAGCCUGAUCCUGCAGGGGAGCCCUGGAGGAGUUACUAAUGUGGAGAAAGAAGAUUAUCAUGUGUGGAACGAAGGACAAUAUGAACAUUAAAUAAUGCCCUGACUCAUUCCAAAAAGAAUCUGAGAUGACCAAUAAAGCCAUUUUUAAUUGUUUAUUAGUGAACAAUAGAUUAUGAGUGCUAAAGGGAUUCAGGAAGAAGAAAGAUCAGUGCAGAGUAGAGAAGUCUGAUGGAUGCAUUGAAGAAGCUAUGCUUGAGCUGAAAUGACAAGAGAGCUGUUUUUCGCUUUCAGAAUUAUUAUGUGGCAAUGGUAAUUGACAACAGAGAAGCUGAAGGUAUGAGGACAAGGGUGUCUUAUCUUUCCCCAGAAGUCUUGCUUGGCCCAUGGGAGAAUACAGGCCUGCACCUUGGACUUGGAGUCAGUAGAUUCCUUCCUGUGAUUUUUUACAAGCUCAAACAUCCCCUGACUGAGUCAUUCACCAGAGAAAGAGGCUUUUCAAAUGAUUUGUGCAUUAGCUAUAGUCUGCCUUAUUCAACCCCAUUUUAGUGUCACAAAAGCUUCUUCUUCCUACAUUGUUAGAGCCUUUUUGACUUUUCUGAAACGACAUCUGCUCACCUCUUGGGUAACACCCUGCAGGGCUCAGUCGAGCUCAGUCACCCUUCACUUUUUUUUUUUUUUUUUUGAGCCAGUUUUGUAAGGUGCUGAGGGAGGUUUGUAUUAGUCCUUGUUGCCCCUAGAAGAAAUAACAGCUAUAAUUUUGGCCCCGAAGAAAAGGAACAGGUAUGACUAUUCUCUCUCUUUCUCUCAAACCACAAUCUACUCUAGGGAGGAAGUCACUUUAUGGGAGCAGAGUCACUCUCAAGUAAUAGCUGGCCAUACAGAUUGCUCUGGACCAAGGGUGAAUGUGAAGAAGAAAAGACCGGCCAGCAACACAAUGGAAUAUCUAGAGUCAUAUUGAGGGAAAUACUUAGAUUGCUGAUUUCUUAGUGGAUUUCACAAGCAGAGCUGCUUGUGAGCAGAAUGGUGAAGUAGGGGCAUGUGUUUCUGGGGUCUUAUUCCAUGGCUUCCUUCCACCUACAAGAGUCAUCCUCACGGAGUACUUGCAUUUCAGUAGAAGAAAAAAAUCUUAUAGAUGGAAGGGAAGGAUGGGGUUCCUGCUUUAGGAAGAUUGGCAUGGUCAUAAGUCUGAGCAAGGAAGGGCCCAGGGCAGCUCAGAGCUCUGAGCAGGAAGCUCUAAUUAGUUACUGAAUAUGGUGCAAGCACAAAGAGAGCGUAGUGUUUUCCCUUUCCAUCUGUGGAAGUCUUGGCCAUGCUUACUUGGGCGUUCCUUCCAGGAAACAUUUAUUUUUCCUCUUUAAUGCCCUCCUCAUAUCUAUGCUCUCAGUAGAGGAUGCCACUGCUUCUGGCACCUGGAUAAUAGAAUGAAGCUGAUUGGGAUGGAAACAGAAAAGUCAUCUCUCAGAACAAUGAGCAGAGACUGAAACUCCCUUGUACCCAGUCCCUGUGCACUGCUGUUCAUAGCCAAAUGGGCAAGGCCUUGCCAAAUGUCAUGUUGAGGUGAGGCCCUAAGUGAUAGAAAAAUAAAAAAUGACUAUGGCCACUUGCAUGUUCAGAGAAUUCAGUUUAGAAAAUGCUAUGCUGGGAGGAUCUCUCUUAAUAUCUUGUUUGCAUCAGAAUGUUCAAGUUGCAAUAUAUGUUUUUGUUUUGUGUAUUUAUUUAUUUUCCUCUACUCUAUUCUGUUAAGUCUUUUAGGGCAAAGGUAGGGUAGUCUAUACUCCCUGCGUUAUCCAUAAUGCCUAGCACUGUGUCUUGUACAUAAAAGGUCAUAAUAAAUACCUGUUGGCUAGAUAGAUGAAUGGAUAGAGUGCCUCAUUUAGAAGCAUUAUACUUCUAUGGAAAAAAAUUUUUAAAUGUAUUUUUUUCUAUGAGAUAACACAGUUCCUGAAUAGGUCAUGGGCAGGUGCUAUUCAAGUUUGCGAAGGAAAGGUUUUCCUAGAGUUAGGGUAAUUUUUUCCUCAAAUAAGAAAAACCUACAGUAAAUAAUUACUCUCCAUAUUAUCUUUAGGUUUCUUGCCAGUAUUAACAUCUUUUUUAUUGUAAGUGAUGAUAUUGUCUGUGAGAACAUUACAGUAGGUUAGUAUCCUGGGUUAAGCUAAGUGUUGUUGAAAAUAAUCCUGGACAUCCAAACAGGAAGAGAGGAAGUCAAACUAUUCCUGUUUGCAAAUAACAUGAUUCUAUAUCUAGAAAACCCUGUAAUGUCAGCCCCAAGGCUCUGUGAGAUCAGAGAUAAAUAACCUCAGCAAAGUCAACAUACAAACAUCAGUAGCAUUCCUUAUACAAACAACAUCCAAGCUGAUGGCCAAAUCAGGAUGCAAUCCCAUUCACAAUUGCCCCCCCAAAAAUAUAAAAUACUUAGGAAUACAGCUAACCAGGGAUGUGAAAGAUCUCUAUAAUAAGAAUUACAAAACACUGCUCAAAAAAUCAUAGAUGACACCAAAAAUUGGAAAAAUAAUCCAUGCUCAUGGAUUGGAUGAAUCAAUAUCAUUAAAAUGGCCAUACUGCCCAAAGCAAUUUACAGAUUUCACAGAUUCAGUGCUAUUCCUAUCAAAAUAUCAAUGACAUUUUUCGUGGAAUUAGAAAAAACUAUUUUAAAAUUGACAUGGAACCCAAAAGGGACCCCGAAUAGUCGAGGCAAUCCUAAACAAAAAGAACAAAGCUGGAGGUAUUAUAUUACCCAAUGUCAACAUAUACUACAGGGCUAUAGUAACCAAAAGAGCAUGGUACUGGUACAAAAACAGACACAUAGACCAAUAGAACGUAAUAAAGAGCCCAGAAAUAAUGUCACACCACUUACAACCAUCUGAUCUUCAAUAAAGCUGACAAAAACAAACAAUAGGGAAAAGAUUCCUCAUUCAAUAAAUGGUGCUGGGAUAACUGGCUAGUCAUAUGCAGAAGAUUGAAACUGGACACCCCACCUUACACUACAUACAAAAAUCAGUGUAAGAUGAAUUAAAGGCUUAAAUGUAAAACCUAAAACUAUAAAAACCCUGAAAGAUAACCUAGGAAAUACCAUUCUGGACAUAGAACUUGGCAAAGAUUUCAUGAUGAAGACAACAAAAGCAAUUGCAACAAAAACAAAAAUUGACAAAUGGGAUCUAAUUAAACUGAAGAGCUUCUGAACAAAAAAAGAAACUAUCAACAGAGUAAACAGACAACCUACAGAAUGGGAGAAGAUAUCUGCAAACUAUGCAUCCAACAAAGGUCUAAUAUCCAGAUGCUGUAAGGAACUUAAAUUUAUAAGCAUAAACAAACAACCCCAUUAAAAAGUGGGCAAAGGACAUGAAGAGAUACUUUUCAAAAGAAGACAUAUAUGUGGCCAACAAGCAUAUAAAAAAUGCUCAACAUCACUAAUCAUUAGAGAAAUGCAAAUUAAAACCACAGUGAAAUACCAUCCCACACCAGUCAGAAUGGCUAUUAUUAAAAGUUGAAAAAUAAUAGGUGCUAGCAAUGUUGUGGAGAAAAGGGAACACUUAUACACCACUGAUGGGAAUGUAAAUUAGUUCAGCCACUGUAGAAAGCAGUUGGGUGAUUCCUCAAAGAACUUAAAAAAACAGAGUUACCAUCCAACCUAGCAACCCCAUUAUUGGGUAUAAUCCAAAGGAAUAUAAAUUGUUCUAUCAUAAAGACACAUGCACAUGUAUAUUCAUUGCAGCACUAUUCGCAAUAAGAAAGAUAUGGCAUCACCCUAAAUGCCCAUCAGUGGUAGACUGGAUAAAGAAAAUGUGGUGCAUAUACACCAUGGAAUACUAUGCAGCCAUAAAAAACAAUGAGAUCAUGUCCUGUGAAGCAACAUGGAUGGAUCUGGAAGCCAUUAUCCUAAGCAAACUAACACAAGAACAGAAAACCAAAUAUGGCAUGUUCUUACAAGUGGAAGCUAAACAAUAGGAACACAUGGAUAUUAGAAGGGUAACAGAAGAUAUUGGGGCCUACUUGAGGGUGGAAAGUGGGAGGAAGGAGAGGAUCGGAAAAAUACCUAUUGGGUACUAUGUUUAUUACCUGGAUGAUAAAAUUAUCUGUCACCAAACCCCUGUGACAUGCAGUUUACCUAUAUAACAAACCUGCACAUGUACCCCUGAGCCUAAAAUAAAAGUUUAAAAAAAAAAAAGAAAAUACACCUGGACCCUAUUUUGAAAGACAUACUGUAGACUUGAGGGAGGAAGAGCAGAGGGAUGGAAAGGGCCCCGAAUUACCCACAAGCCAUGUGAAUGCUUAAGCAGUCAUGGACCACAAUUCUCACCACACACACACACACACACACACACACACACACACACACACACACACAGGUCUGAACCCUUACCCCUGUCUACUACUUAUUGGAGCUUGGUAGAAAAAAAGUUGUGAGUGACAGAAAAGUGAGAAAAAGAGAAGAAGAAGAAAAAUUGGAAAGUGUGGAAGAAAAAGUGGCAAAUGCAAGCAGCCCUUAAUGGAACUGUGCUGAAUUGAGAGACAGCAGAAGGUAACAGCUGGCUGGGACUUGGCCAUGAAAGGUGGAAUGUGAGGAGACAAAUGAAAUGGAAAUGCAGGAAAGAAUGGAGUGGCAAAGGAGGCUGGAGAUGGGGCAGAGGAUAGCAAGGGGAGAGAAGGAAGCACAGAAAGGGUGUGGGGGACAGGCCAGAGAGUAGAAGGCUAGAUGGAACUGACUGAUGCCACCAGUCAGAGAUGGAGACCAUUAACAAUGUGUAGGGAAACCCCUGCCUUCCCAAUAAUGAAAAUGCAGGUUUAAUCAGUACCAAGGAACACUGUGAAGUAAGGGCAUUGACUUGGGAAGUGAAAGCCGAAGAUAGAGCAAACCCCAUACGGCAUAUCCUAACUCGCCAUUUUAACAGCAGAAAGACUCGAAAAUACAAAGCAAAGGAUUAUCCAAAGGGCUUUUUAAAAUAAUGCUUAAAAUUUUAAUCUUGUAAAUAUAUUUCCCUUCCCAGUAUGAAAAUAAUUCCGAGUAUAAUCUUUAUUUACUUUCCCCUUUUUAUUUUAGAAGAGUAAACAUAGCUUUAAGAAUUAAAAAAAUCAGUUAAUAAUCUGACUUUUAAGUCAGCUGUAAAAAUGUAAGUUUCUAGCUCUGCCACUUUUUAGUAGUGUGACUUUGGGCAAAUUGCUCAAAAACUCCAAAUUCUUGUUUCUUUACCUACAAAAAAGGGACAAUAAUACAUACCUCCUAUGAUAGUAGAAAAUUACGUGAAAAUAUACUCCAAGUAUCUCAGAGGGCUUGAUUUCCAGAAAGCGCCCAAGCUCAAUCAAUAGUGACGUUUACUAUCCACGCAGCCAGUUCUACUACUGGGAGUUGGUUGGUGCUGAUAAAGCUUUUUGUCAGACUUCUCACAAUUUCCAUUGUGAGAAGAUGUAGCUUCCAAUUAACUCUGUCACUGAUUGUUGGGUAACUUUGGGCCAAAUGCUGUUCCUUAAUGAAUGUGGGUGUGAAACUUAUUAAGAUUAAUGACUGUCACAGCUGUUAGCCAGAUGUUUACAUAAUUCCCUCUGUUUUACAGCAAUCAUAUCAGAGGAAAGGGGUUGAAUGAUAGAAUUAGAAAAAUAAGUACAAUAUUGUGGGAAUGAAUAAAUGUUGUUUUGGAGGGUAGGAGAUUAAAAUCCUAAAUGUAUUUUGAUUAGGCUAAUAUUAAAAAUUAGCAUCUGUAAAUCAGUAAUCUAAUUGAAGGAAUUUUUUAACACAAGUGACUGGUGGAGGGGACACAGCAUGGGAGGGCAUGCUUACAGCAAGAGCUCCAUUGAUUAAAUAGUCCCCUGCAGAACACAGAGAGUUAAAUACGUCUUUAAUAGCCUCCAGCAUGAAAGGGCAAAUCAUUUGUUUUAAUUGAGGAAGGAUAAAAUAUUUUUGCUUUACACAUAUAUGUUCUAUUUUAGCAUCAUAGUUAUUUUUAUAGCUGUUAUAACUUCACAAAACCUAAUAGGAAAAUAAAUCUGAAUCCAGAAGAGUUCAAUACUUUCCAGAGGAGUCUAGUAAAUAAAAACUCUACACUGACUGACUGAUCUUAUUCAUGCACUGCUCCUAAACCCAAACUCUCAAGUGAAGGGAAAAGAGGUUAAUUCGUUGGAAUAAAUUCAUGGGAUUUUUUUUUAAAGACACAUCCUGAAUCAAAGUGAUUAAAACAACAAAUGGAUAAAGGGUAGAGCUGUGAGAGGACAAGGUUUGCAUUACUGAGCAUCUUGAUUAUGUGGGGAAGAUGGGAAACAGAUCUUGCCCAUUCUGGUCUCAAACUACUAAAUCCUGAGAAUGCCAAGAGGCGAGUCACUGAAGUCAGAAGUUGGAAACAUGGCUAAGCUGUCCAGAGUGUGGAACACAUGGUCUCUGAAGGUUUUUAUUAGUGUGUGGGUGAGAGUUCAGAAGCUCUACUAAUUACUUUUGUUUUCAGAAUUUAUAAAGUUAAGACAGAAAGCGGAAUAUUAACACUUCACUUCCUCGUGCAGUCAUUAAUUUACUCACUUAGCAUACAUUUAUUCAUAGAAGCUUAUUGGUACCAAGUAUACCCUCAAUGAGCAACCAACCCAAAAUUGCAAAAGGGAGAUCAAACAGGGAAGCUGUGGUAGGAAGUAUCAUGGCCUCUUCAAAGAUGUCUAUAUACUAAUCACAGAAUUUAUGUAUAUGUGAUGCUGUAUGUCAAGGGAAGAUUAAGGUGUGCAGAUGGAAUUAAGGUUGCUAAUCAGCUGACCUUAAAAUAGGAGUACUAUCUUGGAAUAUCUGGGUGGGCUCAAUGUAAUCACAAAUGUUCUUAACAGAUAGAAGAAGAAGGCAGAGGAGUCAGUGUUGGAGUGAUGCCAUGUGAGAAAGACUCAACUGGCCAUUGCUGGCUUUGAAAAUGGAAGGAGGCAUAAGCCAAGGAAUGAAUGCAGGUGCCUCUAGAACCUGGAAAAAGCAAGGAAACAAAUUCUCCUCUAGAACCUCCAGAAGGAAUGCAUUCCUGCCAACACCUUGAUUUUUAGCUCGGUGAGACCCAUGCUGGACUUCUGACCUGCAGGAUUGCAAGAUAAGAUAUUUGACUUAUUUUAAGAUGCUAAGUUUGCAGUAAUUUGAUAUGGUAGCCAUCGGAAACUAAUACCGAUGCCAAAGCAGUAAAGCAGGAAAGCACUCCAAAAUCACAGGAGUGAGAGGAGCAGAAAUGUCCUAGGAGAAGACAAUGUUUCCUUUUGAAAAGGAAAGUUUACUGGCAACUUCCAUUUGAAUUUCUUAAUUUCUUUCCUCAGUGGCAGUCACUACUUCCAAGGUGGCAGGUUCCAGAGCUGAUUCAUUAUAUAAUCUUUUCUCAGGAGUAUUCUAGCCACCUUUAAAGAAGCUAGGGCCAUUUUCCUGACACUGCAUCAAGGGGUAAGGUUAGUGGUAAAGAAACCAUGCGGUAGGAAAGGCCAACUUUCUCCCUACAUAAUCCAAUCGCAUUAUCUCCAGACUUGCUCACCCUCUGCUCUUUGCAUACUGCAGCUCCAGAGCUUUCAUACCUACAGACUUCCUGGAGUUAAGACUAAAACAAGAGUUGUGCUACAGACUACCGUUCCUAUUAUCAUUUUUUGUGUCCUGCUGAGUCCUCCCCUCUUGGCAACUUCAGGACCACCCACUGGGAAGAUAAUAUACAACCCAUCAGGAAACUCCCAGUGCCCAUCGUGGAGGCCAAGUGCUGCCAACUCUGAUUGCUUCUGGAAUGCCAUUUCUUCCCUGCCCUUUCAAUAUUCUUGUUAUGCGACUCCUAUGAUCACUGCCAAUCUGUAGAAAAUUACAGGAUGAAUUUUUGUGAAGGACUGAAUUUGCAUACUGGUCUUUUGUUGUUUAUUGUUGGGGGGAUUUUGCUUUUUGCACACAAUUUCUGCACAUUUUAUUGGAAGUUAUUGGGUUAGAUUCAUCCCAUUCAUUCACUAGCCUGGCAUUGCUAUGCAUGUGCUGUAGGGGCUUAGCAUUAAACGAUUUUCUUUGUUCAGAUUUGGAUUGCUGUCUCUGCUUGCAAAUUAUUUUUCACAAUGACUCCUUCUUUUCCUUCUCUCUCUCUCUCUUUCUCUCUCUCUCUCUCUCACACACACACACAGACACACACACACACACACACACACACACACACACACACACACAGAUGAGGUUAGAUAUUUUUCCAUUGCCAAGUUCAGGACCCAUGAAUAC
rnacentral:lncRNA from 1 species